ACCAGUCGAAGGCCGAGGCCUUCUUACCUCCCUGUUGGACUAUGGCCGAGCUUUAUGCUCGGCCUUUUUU
rnacentral:ncRNA from 1 species